UGUUUCCUUUUUGGGUUUUGUUUUGUUUCUUAUUGCAUUGCCAUGCUUACCUUGUCAUAUUGCAUUUGUGCCUCUUGUCAUUUUGCAUUUGUCAUCUCAUAUUGCAAGAUGAUCAUUACCCCUGAUAUCACUUCUAUCUUUGCUUGCUAGUUGUUCGUUCUAUCGCUAUGUCGCGCUACCUACCACUUGUUUAUCAAGCCUCCCUUAUUGCCAUGUCAAGCCUCUAACCCACCUUCCUCCCAAACCGUUGUUUGGCUAUGUUACCGCUUUUGCUCAGCCCCUCUUAUAGCGUUGCUAGUUGCAGGUGCAGUGCAGGUUGUUCCAUGUUGGAACAUGGAUACGUUGGGAUAUUACAAUAUCUCUUAUUUAAUUAAUGCAUCUAUAUACUUGGCAAAGGGUGGAAGGCUUGGCGUUUUGCUUGGUGUUUUGUUCCACUCUUCCGCCUUGGUUUCCGUCAUACCGGUGUUAUGUUCCUUGAAUUUUGCGUUCCUAACACGGUCGGGCUGUUAUGCGCCCCCUUGCCUCUUCUCCUAAAGUAAAGCUUUCCCGAGGAGAUCCAACAUUGGUUUUACCAUUUUCCUAAUAACAACUAAAAUUUGCAUAGAUAGUAAGAUUGCUGAGUCCUCGUGGCUCACAGAUACUACAAACACAAUUGCAGGUGUCGAUCAUACCGAUGCAGGUGAUGCCACCGAGCUCAAGUGGGAGUUCGACGAAGACCUUGGCCGUUACUAUGUUUCCUUUCCAGAUGAUCAGUAGUGGCGCCCAGUAGGGACGAUCGGGACUUAGCAUGGGGGUGUCUUCUUUUCAUUUGGAUCCGUCUGUAGUCGGACCUUGUGUGUACUCUCUAUGAUGUAUGAAUACUUUGAUCAUUGUGUGACAUGGCGAUUGUAAGCCAACUAGUUACUUCCUUGUUCAUUUACAUGGGAAUGUGUGAAGAUGACCCUUCUUGUGAUCAUACGAAAAAGUGGUUAUGCCUCUAAGUCGUGCCUCGACACGUGGGAGAUAUAGCUGCAUCUUGUGCGUUACAAGUUGGUAAUCAGAGCCAACCCGACUUAGGAGCCCCCUGCUUGAUCGAACCACUAACGUUGUUGAGUCUAGAACAAAACAAUUUCGAGUCUUAGGAAUAUAUAUAUAUAUAUAUAUAUAUAUAUAUAUAUCGGAGAGUAGGAUUCUUUUUACUCCUCAACCCCUUCGUCACUCUGGUAAGGACUCCUGACGUAGAUGUUUUGAAUUCUCUCUCCUCAUUUUCACUAAAAAAAUUAGGAUCAUGCGGGUAUCUUGGGAUCAUUCCAAUAUUUUUGUGACGAGAACAUUGUUCUUGGUGCCUCCUGACAUUUAGGGGUUGUGACAGUUUCCCGGGGAGUUGAGCUCCGAGAUGUUGUCACAAUUUUAUCGUUACAGUUCUGGUAUACCUGAGCUCGCCGACAUCGAAAAUCUCUUUUAUGUAGUUAGUGGUAAGAUAACCUCGACGUCACCCAGUACCGGGGAGGGACUUUGGGAGUAUUGCCAUAGCAAGUAUAACGGAUGCUUUUCGAAGGUCGAGGUACAAGAUUUUCGGAGUUUUCUUGGUUAUGUGUUGACGGAUGGAUACAGUGGAGCGUAGGGCUUGUUAGUUGUGUGAUAUAUAUUGUGCCUCCAUGUAUCCCCAACACCAGAUUGCAUAACCAGAAAGUUUCGGGAGUUAAUAGGUGGGAAUUCUAGUAGCUCUUAGUUAUUCUUCCGAUAGAUAAUUGGAAUGGGAUUGGGGGAUCCUUACCAUUUAUUUGUUCCAGUCGUACCUUGUUGUUUCAUUCAUCAACCUUUGUCUAAGUGGCUUCUCACCUUAAUGGUCAUGUAAUGUUAACUUUGGAGUUCAUUCAUUCAAUCUCUGUUCGAAUGCUUAUUGUGAAGACUAUAUGUUGCACAUUUCUAUUCGUUGACUCAGCUUGUCUAUCUUUCUGUGGUGGUUCUAACGGAUUUCACCUCUUCAGGAUGGCUCCCCCAACGCGUCUGAAUCCGGAACGUAGCGAUGGAUAGCAGUCCAACCCUCUGCCACCUCCUCCACCUCCGGAGGCAUGGCAAGCCGUGAUGGCAGCCACCAACGCCAAUACCCAUAUGCUUUUGCAGCUCUUGCAAGAGUGCAACCAAGGCCAAGGCAACCAAGGAAAUCAAGGCCAAGGGCAAUUCAACAAUCAGCCUCAGUUUGCUACCCUCAACCAGUUUCUUGCAAAUCAGCCAAAGUCUUUCAGCGCUUGUGCCGAGGCCAUGGAUGCUGAUGAUUGGCUUGUGGACAUUUACAAGCAUUUUGAAUGCAGCAAUGUCAGGCCUGAGGACUACGUAAAGUUCGCUUCUUUUUAGCUCAAGGACCAAGCAGCAGAUUGGUAUCAAUAGUACAAAGAUUCCAGAGGGGUCGAGUGAUUACCUGGACUGACUUCUACUGGGACUUUCGAUCUCAUCACAUUCCAACAAGUGUUGUCGAGAGCAAGUGUGAGGAAUUCCACAAUCUCAAGCAAGGAAGCAUGUCCAUGUAUCAAUACAACAUCCAGUUUGAGAAGCUUGCUUGCUUCGCAAGGCAAGACGUUCCUGAUGAAAAGAGCAUGAUCUAUCACUUCAGGGGUGGCCUCAGAGAGGAUCUGCAGUUAGCUCUUGUUCUUGUUGAGCCUACUCAGUUUGAUCAGUUCUACAACAUGGCCCUCAGGCAAGAAGCUGCUCAGCUCAAGUGUGAGGCUUCAAAGAAGAGAAUCAGGGAUGCAGUUCACUCGUCUUCUUCCUCUCAAGUGGUAGCUAAGCAACAGAAGUUCUGGCUUCCUCAACCUCCUCUGUUUCGUCAGCCCUACCAGCAGAAGAACUCAGGUGGUCGUGGAUCUUCCCACCCACCCAACCCAGGCUAUCAGAACAAGUCUCAGACUCAGGCUCCAAGGACAGGUGGCCUCCUCUUCCUCAUUAUCAAUGCCUGCUUUCAGAGGUUACUUGCAACAAGUGUGGUCAUAAAGGGCACUACGCAAACAAGUGCACCCAGAGGCACCUUCUGCCUCCUCCUCCUGUGAGGUCUUCAAGCAAUGCAGUUGUCAAGCACAAUCCAAAGUUUGCAAAGGUGAACAUGUUGAAUGCAACUCAAGCAGAGGAUUCUUCAGAUGUGAUCAUGGGUAACCUCACAGUUAACUCUUUUGCGGAAAAAUUAUUAUUUGAUACUGGUGCAUCACAUUCUUUUAUAUCAAGACCUUUUUAUGAGAUGCAUGACUUGAUGCCUGAGUUAUUAGCCAAGCCUUUAUCCAUUGUCUCUCCGGGGAAGAUCAUGAAUUCUCGCUUGAUAGUUCCUGAUGUCAGCAUCAAGAUGGGCAACUAUAAAUUCCUGGCUUCCCUAAUUGUUCUCGGCCACUCUGAUAUUGAUCUCAUUCUCGGCAUGGAUUGUCUUUCUUAGCACAAGGCCUUUCUUGAUUGUGCUACCAGGGAGAUUAAACUGACGCACCCUUUUGAGGAUGUGAUCAUCUAUGCCGCUCGUAAUGAAACCAUCCGGUUCUUCUCUUUCAAUGAGAAGGGCGAGUUAGACGCUAUUUCUCAGAUUCCAGUGGUUUGUGAGUAUCAAGAUGUCUCUCCAUAAGAGCUUCCGGGUAUGCCUCCUCACCGGCCAGUCGAGUUUGUUAUUGAUCUUGAGCCCGGUACAGAACCCGUUUGCAAGCGCCCAUACAAGCUUGGGACAAAAGAGCUGAAAGAAUUGAAGAAACAACUCGAUAAACAAGAGCAUCUAGGUCUGAUCAGACCAAGUUCAUCUCCGUGGGGUUGUGGUGUUCUUUUUGUCCAGAAGAAGGAUGGCACGGACCGACUUUGCAUCGAUUACCGCCCAUUGAACAAGAAGACAAUCACGAAUACAUACCCACUUCCCAAUAUUAAUGAGCUAUUCGAGCAACUCAAAGGUGCAAAGGUGUUUUCCAAGCUUGACCUCCGAAUGGGGUAUCAUCAGAUUCACAUUCCUGAAGAAUAUAUCCCAAAGACAGCAUUGAGAACAAGCUUCGGGUCUUAUGAAUAUACUAUUAUGUCUUUCGGGCUUGCAAAUGCCCCUCCAACUUUCUCUCGCACGAUGAACUUCAUCUUCAACCCCUACACCAAUGAAUUCUUCCUGGUAUAUCUCGACGAUAUCUCGGUUUUCUCCAAGAAUAAAAAGGAUUAUGCCAAUCAUUUGCGAUUGGUUCUCGACAAGCUCAGAGAGUAUCAAUUCUAUGCAAAGUUCUCCAAAUGUGUGUUUUGGCUUGAUGAAGUUCUUUACCUUGGCCACAUCAUCUCCGCCAAGGGCAUUUCUGUUAAUCCAGAGAAGGUUUUUGCAAUUGUUACAUUUGAACCUCCUCAGAAUGUAAAGCAGCUCCGUAGUUUCCUUGGGCUUGCAAGCUAUUGCAGAAGGUUUGUGGAAAACUUCUCAAAGAUUGCUAAGCCUCUUUCCAACCUCCUCCAGAAGCAUGUCAAGUACUCCUGGACUCCUUAGUGUGACAUUGCUUUCAACACUCUCAAAGAGAAACUCGUCUCAGCUCCUGUCCUAACUCCUCUCGAUGAGUCCAAGCCAUAUGAAGUUUUCUAUGAUGCCUCAUUGCAAGGUCUCGGUGCUGUGUUAAUGCAAGAGAAGAAAGUUGUGGCCUAUAUUUCUUGUCAGUUGAAGCCAAAUGAAAGGAACUACCCCACUCACGAUCUUGAGUUGGCGGCAGUUGUCCAUGCAUUAAUAACAUGGAGACAUCUCUUGUUGGGAAGGCAAGUGGACAUUUUCAACGAUCACAAGAGCGUCAAAUACAUCUUCACUCAACCCAACCUCAACCUCCGGCAAACUUGUUGGGACGAAAUGAUUCAAGAGUACAAUCCAAGCAUUGAAUACACUCCAAGCAAGGCGAAUGUGAUUGUAGAUGCUUUGAGCAGAAAGGCUUAUUGCAAUAGCUUAAUUCUCAAGCCAUUCCAACUUGAUCUUUGUGAAGCAUUUUGAAAGCUCAACCUUCAAGUCACUCCAACUUUGGAAGAUCAAAUUCGUGAGGCACAACUCCUUGAUACCAUGGUGAAGAAGGUGAAACAUGGUGUUGCCAAGGGCCUUUCCAAAUACAAGUGCUAUCGCAUUGAUGACAAGGACACCUUAUUCUUCGAGGAUCGGAUUGUGGUUCCAAAAGGUGAUCUCAGGAAGGUCAUAAUGAAUGAAGCGCACAAUUCUCUUCUUUCCAUCCACCCAGGCAGUUCCAAGAUGUACCAUGACCUCAAUAAAUCGUAUUGGUGGACUCGAAUGGAGCGAGAGAUUGCUCAAUUCGUGAAUGAAUGUGAUGUCUGUCGAAGGGUGAAAGCAGAACAUCAAUGACCAGCUAGUCUCCUCCAACCUCUUGCUAUUCUAGAAUGAAAGUUUUACCAUAUCAAAAUGGACUUUGUCACUAGCUUUCAAAGUACAAGAGAGGGAAUGAUGCUAUCUUCGUUGUCAUUGACAAGCUUACAAAAGUGGCUCAUUUCCUUCGAAUCAAAGAAUCUAUCAUGGUAGCUCAGUUGGCAGAGCUAUACACCUCUAGGAUUGUCUCAUUGCACGGAAUUCCGCAAUUGAUCUCUUCAAACCAUGGAAGCAUUUUCACUAUCAAAGUACUGGGACUCCUCCUAGAAGGCCGUGGGCACCAACAUUCUUUUUAGCACGACUUUCCAUCGUCAAACAAGUGGACAAGUCAAGAGAGUCAAUCAUAUCCUUGAAGACAUGCUCAGAGCUUGUGUCAUCUCUUUCGUGUGAAGUGGGAAGAUUGCCUCCCAUAUGCCGAGUUGUCCUACAACAACAGCUUCCAAGCAAGUUCGGGCAAGGCCCCAUUUGAAAUUCUAUAUGGCAGAAACUGCCGUACUCCUCUCAACUGGUCCGAGACUAGUGAACACCAACUUCGUGGCAAUGACUUGAUCACAGAAGCUGAAGGAAUGUGUAAAGUCAUCUGUGAAAAUCUCAAAGCCGCACAGUCGCGCCAGAAGAGUUACUAUGAUAGCAAGCACCGCGACUUGGCUUUCGAGAUCGGAGACCAUGUCUAUCUCCGCGUCUCUCCGAUGAAAGGCACUAGACGCUUUGGUAUCAAAGGGAAGCUUUCCCCGAGAUACGUGGGUCCUUUCAAGAUCAUUGGCAAAAGAGAUGACCUUGCUUAUCAGCUUGAGACCCCUUCUAACUUCUCAAAUGUGCACGAUGUGUUUCACGUGUCACAACUUUGCAAGUGCUUCAAGAUGCCCGAGCACACUAUCAACUUCGAAGAGAUUGACCUCCAAGAAGACUUGUCUUAUCAUGAGCAUCCCGUUGCCAUUUUUGAAGAAACCAAGCGCAAAACUCACAACAAGUCAAUCAAAUUCCUCAAAGUUAAGUGGUCUCACCAUUUCGACCGAGAAGCUACUUGGGAGCGCGAGGAUCACCUCCGUUCCGAAUAUCCGGAGUUCUUUCAGUCCUAGAUCUAGGGACGAGAUCCUCUUGUAGUGGAGGAGAGUUGUAACACCCCAUUUGUAACAUUUCCCAAUAUGGGCUAUAUAUCCAUCUUGUUCUUCAUCAAUUCCAAGUGGUUCCAUCUUUUGUGUUUCCUUUUUGGGUUUUGUUUUGUUUCUUAUUGCAUUGUCAUUCUUACCUUGUCAUAUUGCAUUUGUGCCUCUUGUCAUUUUGCAUUUGUCAUGUCAUAUUGCAAGAUGAUCAUUACCCCCAAUAUCACUUCUAUUUUUUCUUGCUAGUUGUUCGUUCUAUCGCUAUGUCGCGUUACCUACCACUUAUUUAUCAAGCCUCCCUUAUUGCCAUGUCAAGCCUCUAACCCAACUUCCUAGAAAACCGUUGUUUGUCUAUGUUACCACUUUUGCUCAGCC
rnacentral:lncRNA from 1 species